rnacentral:rRNA from 1 species
GCUAGAGAAGAUUAGUGGCGGACGGGUGAGUAACAUUUAGGAAUCUGCCUAGUAGUGGGGGAUAGCUCGGGGAAACUCGAAUUAAUACCGCAUACGACCUACGGGUGAAAGGGGGCGCAAGCUCUUGCUAUUAGAUGAGCCUAAAUCAGAUUAGCUAGUUGGUGGGGUAAAGGCCCACCAAGGCGACGAUCUGUAACUGGUCUGAGAGGAUGAUCAGUCACACCGGAACUGAGACACGGUCCGGACUCCUACGGGAGGCAGCAGUGGGGAAUAUUGGACAAUGGGGGCAACCCUGAUCCAGCCAUGCCGCGUGUGUGAAGAAGGCCUUUUGGUUGUAAAGCACUUUAAGCAGGGAGGAGAGGCUAAUGGUUAAUACCCAUUAGAUUAGACGUUACCUGCAGAAUAAGCACCGGCUAACUCUGUGCCAGCAGCCGCGGUAAUACAGAGGGUGCGAGCGUUAAUCGGAAUUACUGGGCGUAAAGCGAGUGUAGGUGGCUCAUUAAGUCACAUGUGAAAUCCCCGGGCUUAACCUGGGAACUGCAUGUGAUACUGGUGGUGCUAGAAUAUGUGAGAGGGAAGUAGAAUUCCAGGUGUAGCGGUGAAAUGCGUAGAGAUCUGGAGGAAUACCGAUGGCGAAGGCAGCUUCCUGGCAUAAUAUUGACACUGAGAUUCGAAAGCGUGGGUAGCAAACAGGAUUAGAUACCCUGGUAGUCCACGCCGUAAACGAUGUCUACUAGCCGUUGGGGUCCUUGAGACUUUAGUGGCGCAGUUAA